CAAAAAAGCUAGAAACCCUUGGAACUGGCGGGCAGGAUAAGAGUCACUGACCCGGCAAUCUGAUUUAAAGGGCUUUGAGAGGAAGGGGGAGGAAGGAGAACCCAAGGAAGGAAGAGAGCUGAAAUUCCAGUCUUUCAGAUCCGGUCAGGAUAAUGUCAUCAAUGUAAUGGACCAGUGUGACAUCUUGGGGAAAUGAAAAGCAAUCAAGGUCUCUUCGAACAAGAUUAUGACACAAAGUUGGAGCAUUGAUAUGCCCCUGAGAUACGGAGAUGACCCUUCUCUCCUCCCUUCCUUAGGGAGUACACACUUUGCAACUAGAAGGAAAAUUACAUUCUUCAGCCAGAUUGAAAAUCAGUGACAUCACUGGUCAUAAUGCCCUGGGAGUUUCUCAAGGAGAAAAGACAGUCUUAAGAAUUCCACAAGAAGAAGCUGAAAUAAUUGUGCAUUAUUAGUGGGAUUAUCAAAUGGCGACACUGCUGUGGAAGAUAGUAUGGAAGUUCCUCAAAAAUUUAAAAAGAGAAACUGUCAUAUAAUCCAGCCAUCCUCCUUCUGGGCAGCCAAAAGAAUUAAAAGCAGUCUUGAAGUGAUGUUUUAACACACAUAUUCAUCACAACAUUAAUCACAAUAGCCAAGACAUGGAAGCAACGUAAACAUCCAUAGAUGGACAAGUGGAUUAACAAAUGUGAUUUAUUCAUGCAAUGGAAUAUUAUUCACCCUUAAAAAGAUAGGGAAAUCUUGCAUAUGCUACAAAGUGAAGGAAUCUUGAGGAUAUUAUGCUAAAUGAAAUAAGUCAGUCACAAAAAGAUAAAUACUUUUUGAUUCCAUUUAUACGAAGUGUCUAAAGCAGUCAAAUUUACAGAAACUGAAAGUAGAAUGGUGGUUACCAGGGGCUGGGGACACGGAGAGAGGGAUGUUAUUAAUAGGUAUAGAAUUUCAGUUUUUGCAAGAUGAAAAAGUUCUGGAGAUCAUUUCACAACAAUAUGAAUAUACUUAACAAGCCUGAAAUCACUUAGGAUCUGGCAUCAUUUGAAGAAUGACCAGCUAUGCAAUGACUUUUCCUUAUUAUUGUUUCUUUAAAAACAUGUCUAUACUUACAAGUUACAGUUACGAUAGGUUCCCAACUUACA